rnacentral:lncRNA from 1 species
GUGAGGUCACGACUAUUCAGUCACUGGUUGGUCUGCCAGAUGACAGCAGAUUCAUGUGCAAGCCCAGCAGAGGUCAGCCAAGCUGACUCAAACCAGAGGAACAAGCUGAUCACAGAAAUCAGGAGCAGAAUGAAUACUUGCAGGUGUAUUCUACCAAGGGAGGACACCAAAUGCCACCCAAGAUGAAUGGAACAGAAGGGGAUGGAACCAUGGAUGAGGCUGACAGGGAACCAAGGAGUGCUAAAUCCAGGCAGUGGUCACCCUCACGGCACUUGCUCCUUCCCUGGCUUCAGACGCCUUUUUUGGAUGGGU